CGUUUAUGUCUUGUCUAUGGUGGCUUUCAUGUUACAACAGCAGAACUGAGUAGUUGUGACAGAGUCUGUGUGGCUUAGAAAGCUCAACGUAUUUACUAUCUGGCCCUUCACAGAAAAAGUUUCCUGAACCCUGGUUUGGAAAAUGAUGUAAUCAGGUUACUGGAAAGGAGCUGGCCUGGACAGGGCAAUCAGGGAAGCCAUCUCCAAGGAGAUGACAUUCAAGCUAAGAUCUGAAUGAGAAGGGGCUCAUCAUUCAAAGUUCUGGAGGAGAAGUUUCAGGCAGAGGGAGCAGUUGGUGCAACGGCCCUGAAGCAGGAAGAAACUUACCGUGUUUGAGGGAUGGACAAAAGCUUCAAGAACAAGGGCCAGAGUAGCAUGAGAUGGGGAUGGAGAAAGGCCAGGACCAACUAUGGGGGCUGGAACAGGAAGACAAAUUUAAACUUCUAGUCUGCGGAUUUGUGGAGGGUGUGACUGAGCACUAAGACUUUCAAAACUGUCUACGACAUAGGAAAAUGAAAGCAACUCUUUUUCCUUGGAACUUGGAUCCUUCUAAAGCUGUUAUUUAAGUUGCCUGGAUGAUCUGACAAACUUAUUUCCCAACCCACAGAAGGAACGUGGGUAGAGGCAGACUGCUCCACUUCAAUCCUGAAAAUUAUGGAUCCACUAUCUACGAAUGGAAAAGAUUAACUUUCAUAGAAUUUUAGAGACUAUAAGGCCUUUAGCAAUCAUCUAUUUCCCCCUUUCAUUUCAUUUUGUAAAUUAUUAAAUCAACUCUAAGCACUGAAAAGGACAUUUUAAAACAAUGUAAACUUACCAUCUACUUUCAUUUUCUGUUUGUUCCAAUCUUUUAACAGUUGGGAUCACAGUAUGUAGAUAAUUUUGUGUUCAACUCUCUCCUCUUAAUUUCCCACAUUACACACAAUCACCACAUUUAUCAUUUUAGUAAUUUUAUGUUCUUCCAUCAUAUUGAUAUAUUAUAAUUUAUUCAAUGUCCCCACUAUUAGUUGUUGAUGUUUUUUAGACCAUGACAACAUUUAUAGUAAUUGCCUUUGUAGAUAUUUUAUUUUUUUUUACCUAUUCCUUGUGAUAUAUGGUGAUUAUGAAUAUUUCCAGUUGUCCUCCAGAUUUAUAAGAAUAUUCAAAGCCCAGCAGCCAGAAGCAUAUUUGCUUUAUUUAUUAUUCAAAUUUAAUAUUUAGGUGUAAUAUUGAACCCUAUUAUUGGUUUAACUUGCUUUCUAAAAUUAGUAAUAGUAACAUUGAAU